UGAAACAAAGAGAAGUUUGCAGUGAGGUAGAAUAAAGCCUGCGAACAAGAAAGGAACUCAAAGGACUCUCUGAUGUCAACACUUUCCCUCCCCUACUCUUGAUAUCGAUCUGGCCAGCUCUAAGAGAAGAUUUCAUGGUGUGCAUCAAGCACGUGCACACCUGGAGCUGCUGUUUUGCCUCAGCCAGGCAGAACGUGACAGUUUUGGGAAGACUGCUGCAGAGUAACAGGGGUGUUUACA